GUCUUCACAAAUGGAUGUCCCCUUGCUUUCUUGAGGAGGAAACAGUGUCUCAUAUUUUUUUGAGCUGUAGAAAAUCUUGGGUGGUAUGGACAUGGUUUUUCAAUUGGUGAGAUAUUACAUUCUGCAUUCCAAAGUCAGUUUCUUCUUUGUUAGAAGAGUGGAGUUCUCUGGCUCACGGAUCUUUUCAGAUAAGGUUUUCGACUAACCCAUUUUAUGCAAUUAUGUGGUCCAUUUGGCUUGCAAGGAAUGAUUUGAUCUUUAAUGGCAAAGACACUAACACACUUGAGCUAUGCACUUUAAUCCUUCAUCGUUUGUCUAUUUGGAUGAAAGUUCUAGAUGAUGGUUUUCCCUUCUCAACUACUGAUUUGCUUACAACUUCAGAAUCUACUAGAGCACGGACUAAUCCUAUCAAGCAUCGUCCAUCCAUCUCAUGGAUCGCUCCCACACUCACAAGUAUAAAAUGGAAUGUCAAUGGUUCAUCAUUGGGGAAGCCUGGUAAGAGUGCUGUGGGAGGUGUUUUGUAUGACUCCAAUGGUAAAUUUCUCUGUGUGUUUUCUUAUCCAGUUAGAAUUUUGGAUUCAAAUGCAGCUGUUUAUGUGCUAUUUUGAAAGCCUUGGAAAUUUCAGUAUCCUUGCCCUUGAUGUUUCAAUCUAUAGCUUCUAUCCUCUUGGAAUCAGAUUCCAAAAAUGUUGUAGGGUAAUGGGUCCUGACUCUGGUCCAUAGAAAAUUUCCUCAGUUACUAAUUAGAAUGUUGAAUUUAUGAAGCCAUAACCCUCUGUUCUGGUCUCUCAAACCCUUCACGAAGCAAACCCAAUUGCCAAACAAGGGUUAAGUCGCUCAGUGGAUUUUGUUGCAUCCUUCUAAGCUUGAAUCAUGUUGUUUGAUUUGUUUUUCUUUGAUGGUUCUAUUGUCUUGUUUAUUGUAUUAAUUUUUUUGUGUGUUAUGACUUUCAUCUUUUAGAUGUCAUGUACUCUUUCUA
rnacentral:misc_RNA from 1 species